GGUGAGAUGGUUACUAAGUGACCUCAGGUUGGCUGAACUCUUUUGAAACAGAGGAAGAUUCCAAUGACAGAAGGAAGAGGACAUCUCUAUACUUCUGCCCAUUCAAGCUGUGUUCGGAAUGUUGUCUUCAUCUCAUUUUAUAGUUGUAAAGAGGAAAAGUAGCCUCAGGCUAUACAACUCAAGGUCUCUGCCCCAACCUGGUCUCAACCUGUACCACCAAAUCAGACACCUUUUUUAUAUGUGAUCAUGAUUUUUUUUUGCCAGUCAUAUCUACUUAUCAUUCCCAUCAACAUGCUGGU
rnacentral:lncRNA from 1 species